UCUGGGAACGGGGAUCAGGGAUUACUCAGGCAUGCGGGACAGGAGCAUGUGCAGCGGCAGUCGCAUCUGUAUUA
rnacentral:tRNA from 1 species